ACCUUCAGAUUCUAUUCGGGUUGUAAAUGCAUUACUAACUCAGAUUGACAAGUUAAUAUCAUCUCCAAAUGUGAUAAUCCUAAUCACAUCCAACAUAACUACUGCUAUUGGAAAAUUAUUAUGAAGUAGAAAAAUAACUUAAUCACACAAAUUGUGAAGAUCAAAUAUUAGAGAGUAAAAAUUACCAAUUUG